rnacentral:rRNA from 1 species
GAUGAACGCUGGCGGCGUGCCUAAUACAUGCAAGUCGAGCGAACGGACGAGAAGCUUGCUUCUCUGAUGUUAGCGGCGGACGGGUGAGUAACACGUGGAUAACCUACCUAUAAGACUGGGAUAACUUCGGGAAACCGGAGCUAAUACCGGAUAAUAUUUUGAACCGCAUGGUUCAAAAGUGAAAGACGUUCUUGCUGUCACUUAUAGAUGGAUCCGCGCUGCAUUAGCUAGUUGGUAAGGUAACGGCUUACCAAGGCAACGAUGCAUAGCCGGCCUGACGGGGUGGACGGCCACACUGGAACUGGGACACGGUCCAGACUCCUACGGGAGGCAGCAGUAGGGAAUCUUCCGCAAUGGGCGGAAGGCUUACGGAGCAACGCCGCGGGAGUGAUGGAGGUCUUUGGAUCUGAAAACUCUGUUAUUAGGGAAGAACAUAUGUGUAAGUAACUGUGCACAUCUUGACGGUACCUAAUCAGAAAGCCACGGCUAACUACGUG